rnacentral:ncRNA from 1 species
AGAAGCAUUUAACUCAGUUGAGCAUAUAUUCCCACAUAAUGUGCUCAUUAAACCAGGCUGUUUGCUGGGAACUCUGCCGCAUUAAACCGGUUGACAAUCAGCAGGAACCAAGGGGUUUUUUAAAAUCCUGAUGGGUUCUUCAGAGACUAUACGCCUGGCGCUUAAUUAUUAAAGAAAAAAAUUAAAUGAUGAUAUAGUCCUUCUACUAUUGAAAAAUUGUA